GAUGAACGCUGGCGGCGUGCUUAACACAUGCAAGUCGAACGGGAAAUAUUUCAUUGAGACUUCGGUGGAUUUGAUUUAUUUCUAGUGGCGGACGGGUGAGUAACGCGUGGGUAACCUGCCUUAUACAGGGGGAUAACAGUCAGAAAUGGCUGCUAAUACCGCAUAAGCGCACAGAGCUGCAUGGCUCAGUGCUAAAAACUCCGGUGGUAUAAGAUGGACCCGCGUUGGAUUAGCUAGUUGGUGGGGUAACGGCCCACCAAGGCGACGAUCCAUAGCCGGCCUGAGAGGGUGAACGGCCACAUUGGGACUGAGACACGGCCCAGACUCCUACGGGAGGCAGCAGUGGGGAAUAUUGCACAAUGGGGGAAACCCUGAUGCAGCGACGCCGCGUGAAGGAAGAAGUAUCUCGGUAUGUAAACUUCUAUCAGCAGGGAAGAUAGUGACGGUACCUGACUAAGAAGCCCCGGCUAACUACGUG
rnacentral:rRNA from 1 species